CACGUAGGGUGCGAGCGUUGUCCGGAAUUUUUGGGCGUAAAGAGCUCGUAGGCGGUGUGUCGCGUCGGCCGUGAAAACCUGCAGCUUAACUGUGGGCUUGCGGUCGAUACGGGCAUCACUGGAGUUCGGCAGGGGAGACUGGAAUUCCUGGUGUAGCGGUGAAAUGCGCAGAUAUCAGGAGGAACACCGGUGGCGAAGGCGGGUCUCUGGGCCGAUACUGACGCUGAGGAGCGAAAGCGUGGGGAGCGAACAGG
rnacentral:rRNA from 1 species